rnacentral:rRNA from 1 species
GUACACUCCUGCGGGAGGCAGCAGUGGGGAAUUUUGGACAAUGGGCGAAAGCCUGAUCCAGCAAUGCCGCGUGAGUGAAGAAGGCCUUCGGGUUGUAAAGCUCUUUUGUCAGGGAAGAAACGGUGAGAGCUAAUAUCUCUUGCUAAUGACGGUACCUGAAGAAUAAGCACCGGCUAACUACGUGCUAGCAGCCGCGGUAAUACGUAGGGUGCAAGCGUUAAUCGGAAUUACUGGGCGUAAAGCGUGCGCAGGCGGUUUUGUAAGUCUGAUGUGAAAUCCCCGGGCUCAACCUGGGAAUUGCAUUGGGGACUGCAAGGCUAGAAUCUGGCAGGAGGGGGUAGAAUUCCACGUGUAGCAGUGAAAUGCGUAGAUAUGUGGAGGAACACCGAUGGCGAAGGCAGCCCCCUGGGUCAAGAUUGACGCUCAUGCACGAAAGCGUGGGGAGCAAACAGGAUUAGAAACCCCGGUAGUCCCAUGA